GUGGGGAAUAUUGGGCAAUGGGCGAAAGCCUGACCCAGCAACGCCGCGUGAAGGAAGAAGGUCUUCGGAUCGUAAACUUCUAUCCUUGGUGAAGAUAAUGACGGUAGCCAAGAAGGAAGCCCCGGCUAACUACGUGCCAGCAGCCGCGGUAAUACGUAGGGGGCAAGCGUUGUCCGGAAUGAUUGGGCGUAAAGGGCGCGUAGGCGGCCCGGUAAGUCUGAAGUGAAAGUCCUGCUUUUAAGGUGGGAAUUGCUUUGGAUACUGUCGGGCUUGAGUGCAGGAGAAGUAAGCGGAAUUCCCGGUGUAGCGGUGAAAUGCGUAGAGAUCGGGAGGAACACCAGUGGCGAAGGCGGCUUACUGGACUGUAACUGACGCUGAGGCGCGAAAGUGUGGGGAGCAAACAGGAUUAGAAACCCCUGUAGUCC
rnacentral:rRNA from 1 species